AACAGAAAAGGCUCCAAAAAUAUGGAUCCCAUCUGGGAAAGUCCGUACAAGAUCAGCAGAGUAGGUGGCAAGAACAAUUACACACUCGCUACCAUAAAACGACAAAAAGAUCGAAAAACAGUGGAACGCCUACAAUAUGAGGAAGUACCAUGUGUGACCUCUCGCUACAUCAAAGCCCGAAGACUCAAGCAGCUCGACGGGCACUACCUCACCAACCGAGGAUUAUC
rnacentral:lncRNA from 1 species